ensembl:lncRNA
CCUGUUAGGAGAUGGAAAGGACCUGAGGGAUAACAAGUAAUUAAUAAUGUUGAGGAAAAAAAAAAAAACAGCAACAGGUUUAAUAUUAAAAUGGGACAAAGACCUAGCCGAACUUUUCCUUCAUGUUAGAAAGUUUCAUGCCUUGUAGAAUUAUAGCAAAUACGUGUAAUAACUUAAAAAAAAAUAUUUCAGAGGCUUCAUCGCCCACACGGAAGAUUCUGUGACAUCAGCUUAAUUCCGACUCUCGGCCCUCAUCUUCCGGUUUUGUUUACUUGGUUUUCGGAGCUGCUCCUGUCUCCAGAGAUGUUAUAUGGCUUGAUACACUUUUAAUACAAAGGGCUGCUGCGAGGAUCAAACGAACAGAUCUGUGUACGCCCUUGCUGCUGCUGCUGCUCUCUGUGCGACCCCAUAGGUGGUGCCUAAACCAGCCCUGGGGUCAGGCGGCUGUCAACCACAGGUUCCAGCACCAGUCUCAGAAGAUCCCAAAGGCCCACUUCACUGCCCCAGACUCCAUCUCUGCCUGCGCUGCUCUGUCUUCCUCGUCUGUUCACCUGCUAAUACCUGUGCAUUCUGAAGAGUCGUCUCAGGUAUCACCUCCUCCACGGAGCCCUCUGCCUUAGGUUAGAUGAUGUGAUGUGAUGUAAUUAGAGGGCGGAGGGAAGUGGGGAAAACGUGAGCACGCUGUGUUAGAACCAGGUCUGUUCUUCCUCUCCCACAAGACGCAAGCUACCUGAGGGGGAGACUUUCCCUCUGUGUCACCAUGUCUGGCUGUCACUGUUGUCACCACUUACAGAAGGAAUCAGGGGAGGCAGAAUAAAAGCAGGCCAGGACCCAGGUCACCGACUUCCUCCUGGGCCUGGCGGAGCUUGGGAAAGAGCUCAGCUAAGCUCCAGGCGGAGUGAAGGCGCAGCAGUCAGGGUGGGUGGAAGGAAGCCUUGCCUCACAGAGCAGCUGGCUAAACUCUCCUUCCUGCCCGCCCUCCAGAUUCCACAGCAGGACCCACCCACCUGUACUGCACACCCUUUUUGACACGUACCCUGAGUACUAUCCAGAGUCUAGGACUCAAGAAUUAUUUCCUGAUGGACUUAAUUAUUUAGCAGGCGAUGUGGCAAAAGCACAUCCUGGAGUGUCUGUUAAAUCAACUGUACUU